CGAGGGGGCUAUAGCCAGUACAGAGGCUCAGCAAGGCCUUUUUUACGGUCGGGCCAGCGGGGCCGGGGACAACGGCGACCCGCAUACAUGCAGCAAAGUCAAAGCCAGAGCCAGACACAGAAAAAAGAAUAGCCCCUAAGUCUGAUCAGCCGUGUUCUGCACAAAGUGAAGGAAGACAAAUUUCUUUCAGAAGAGGUUUGCAAGUGUCCACUUCCACAGUGGC